rnacentral:misc_RNA from 1 species
AAAAGGGUUAUUUCAGGAAAGGAUGCAUACUAGAGGCUAUGGAACGAUACGAGGAUGCCUUGGCUGCUUUCCGGAUUGCAUCAAAAUACAACCCUCAAAGUUCGGAAGUAUCCAAGAAGAUAAAGACACUUACGCAGUUGGCUAAAGAUAAGAAGCGCACUGAAGAACUGGAGAACAUGAGAACCAAUAUUGACAUGGCAAAACAUUUUCAUGCGUUGAAAUCUGAACUGUCUG